rnacentral:lncRNA from 1 species
AUUCCGUCGCGCGCGCGCAGCAUAUUCGGUGGCGGCCUCGCCUUCGUCGCUGUGUUUAGCAUGACAAUGGGUGAAGAAGCACAACGGCUGUUCAUGACCAUGAUAAAGGAGUCACCGCUACCCGCAGCAUCAGCUGUCAUCGAUGCCUUGGCCACUCCUGAGAACGUUGGCGAGAUACCCGACGAGAACACCGCUGCGUCGGACGUGGGCGAGAGGGGACCGCAGCCAGCGCCAGAAGUGAGAAGAGGCGGCGGAG